rnacentral:rRNA from 1 species
UACAGAGGGGGCUAGCGUUGUUCGGAAUUACUGGGCGUAAAGGGUGCGUAGGCGGCCUGCCAAGUCGGGUGUGAAAUCCCGGGGCUUAACCUCGGAAUUGCACUUGAAACUAGCAGGAUUGAGGACGAGAGAGGAUAGUGGAAUUCCUAGUGUAGGAGUGAAAUCCGUAGAUAUUAGGAGGAACACCAGUGGCGAAGGCGGCUAUCUGGCUCGUAUCUGACGCUGAGGCACGAAAGCGUGGGGAUCAAACAGG